rnacentral:rRNA from 1 species
GGACAAAUGAUUGGGGCGAAGCCGCAACAAGGUAGCCGUAUCGGAAGGUCCGGCUGGAUCACCUCCUUUCUAAGGA